UCAAACUUCGACUUUACUGAUUAACCUCUAUUAAUAUCGUGAAGAACUAAAGGACUCGUCCUCAACUGAUUUGUGAAGAACCGAAGGACUCGCCCUCGCCAUCAUCGGAAUUUGUGAACUUCACCCUCGCCAUCGCCGAAAUCUGUGAACUCUGCCUUAUCUACACAGAAACUCAAGUAGUCAAUCAUCUCUUCCUGAUUAAGAUCAAGCAGGUCCUUCAUAGUUCCAAACAGUUACAAAUUCAUGGAAAUCAAGAUUUAAUUCUAUUUCAAUGAGGUUAGGAUUUCCUAAAAUGGCAUGAUUUUGGACAAAGUCACUAAUUCCUUCAUAGUUCGAAACUAAUAUCUUCAACUCGGCUAAUCAAUCAAAGAUUCCAGUGGUUGUCUGCAAAAGUUGUCAUGUACCCGUAUCCAAAUAUGUCGUGUAGAGGGAGCAAAUUACCAUUUGGUCCUUAAUAAACAGUAGGGGUGGGAGGGGUGGAGAUGGAUUAAACACGUGGUUUAAUAUUUCACAGCUUUAUUUUUCUAUCUGCUUGUGAAAAAAAACCUUCAUAUAGAAACAUAGAUUUGGUAUGGAUAGC